AAUCCAGAAGGAAAAAUCCCGUGGGGAGUCGAGUUGCCCACGUGGGUGCUGGGAACUGUGCGCACGCGCAUGCGCGCACAGUAGCCGUGGGACAUGGGUGCUGAGCACUGUGUGCGCACGCCUGCGCACUCAGUAGCCGUGGGAUGUGCGUGCAGCGUGAACGUCCCCUCCGCACGUAAACACGCACAAUUCCAAAACUCGGCCCUCCUCUGUCAUUUUUUGUACCAAGCAUCUUUUUCUCCUCUCUCUUCACUAGAUUUCACCACUUGGCACAAAGCUGACGGUUCCAAGACACUAUAAAUUUCCCUUCCUCUUCUAUUCCUCUCCACACUUCUGUUCUUUUAU
rnacentral:lncRNA from 1 species